rnacentral:rRNA from 1 species
AUUGAACGCUGGCGGCGUGCCUAACACAUGCAAGUCGAGCGGUAACAGGUGUAGCAAUACAUGCUGACGAGCGGCGAACGGGUGAGUAAUGCUUUGGAAUCUUCCCAGUAGUGGGGAAUAACCAGUCGAAAGAUUGGCUAAUACCGCAUACGUCUGUAAAGGGAAAGCGGGGGCUCGCAAGACCUCGCGCUAUUGGAUGAGCCAAAGUCGGAUUAGCUAGUUGGGGGGUAAUGGCCUACCAAGGCGACGAUCCGUAGCUGGUCUGAGAGGACGACCAGCCACACCGGAACUGAGACACGGUCCGGACUCCUACGGGAGGCAGCAGUGGGGAAUAUUGGACAAUGGGGGAAACCCUGAUCCAGCGACGCCGCGUGUGUGAAGAAGGCCUGCGGGUUGUAAAGCACUUUUAGUGGGGACAAAAAGCUACGGACUAAUACCCUGUGGUCUUGAUUUAACCUACAAGAAAAGCACCGGCUAACUCUGUGCCAGCCGCCGCAGU